rnacentral:lncRNA from 1 species
UAGUGUAAGAGGCUAGUUGGUCAUUUGGGUAGUGAAGGCCUUUGUAGGUAGAGGUUGUGAGCUUGAAUGGAUCGAGCUAGGGUGAGGCCCCAUUAGGCUGAGAAGUUUAGUGGACUCCCAUUGGGUCCGGAUUAGGUCCAGUGAAUCCUAUUGGGUUCAGAUUACAUAGGCCUUUAUUGGAUCAGUUGAUCAAUGGACCCCUAUUAGGUCCAGAUUUCGUUAGUGGGCCACCAUUAGGUCC